rnacentral:hammerhead_ribozyme from 1 species
AUCCAGUUGACGAGUCCAAAACAGGAUGAAACGCGCUUUGUCCAGGAU